GCGCGAGUGGCGGAAUCGGCAUACGCAGCAGACUUAAAAUCUGCGGGCCCUUCGAUGGGUCGUAGGGGUUCAAGUCCCCUCUCGCGCAUCA
rnacentral:tRNA from 1 species